UUGGUUUGUAAAGCACCAUCUCGUUUCAUGACUGUCUAUCAUAAGACUUAAACCAGAAACAGGUUUGGGGAGGGGAAGAUGGAAGGAAUCAAGCCAGAGGAAGAGCAGAAGAAUCAACAGAACUCUGAUUCUACUGAGGACAGAGACUGAGGAGAUUGAAGAAGAGAAACAGAUGGGGAGGAAGACCCUGGAGGAAGAAUUUCAUUAUGCCAUUCAAGAUGAAUUCCGAAUUCCCUAAUGUGUGGGGCAAGCAUCUUUUAAUUUCAUGGCUGCACUCAUCAUCUGCAGUGAUUUUGCAAGUAACAAUUAAAUACACAAGACAGCUUGGAGAAGGAGAAAACAAAUGGAGAUGUUGAAGCUUGUUAUACUCUAUCCAUGACUUGAACUAAAAUGGCAGCUCUGGCAGAGACUCAAAGAACAUUGACAGAAAUUAAAGACACCAUAAAGGAAAAGUCAACAAGACUUAAGGACUAAUUGGAUGUGAUUGAGUUGUGUGGUUCUUACUAUGUGUACGAUGCUGGCAUUAGAAGCAGCCCAAGCUUAGGAAAUUAAACUUCUACUGGUAAAAUCAGGCAAAUUGAGUGUGGAAAAAAAUGUUUUUAGGGGAUCUAAUACGAUUUCAAAACAAUAAUAGUAAGAUAUUCAGCUGAAAAUAUUCAGUCAGCAGGUGCACUGGACGGCAUAAGGUUUGGAAAACAUCUCUAAAAAUCUGCAGGAGUGAAUGAAAAUGCCAAAGACAAGAUGGAAAAGAUAAAAUGUGAAUAUUUUUUUCCCCUUCGUGGGCAACAGCGCCUUCAAAUAUUUUCAGUCUAUAAUUAUGUCCUCCUUACACUACCCCCCCCACCACCCACUCUGAGUCAAUGUUUGC
rnacentral:lncRNA from 1 species